rnacentral:rRNA from 1 species
GAUGAACGCUGGCGGCGUGCUUAACACAUGCAAGUCGAACGGAAAGGCCCAAGAUUGCUUGGGUACUCGAGUGGCGAACGGGUGAGUAACACGUGGGUGAUCUGCCCUGCACUUCGGGAUAAGCCUGGGAAACUGGGUCUAAUACCGGAUAGGACGAUGGUUUGGAUGCCAUUGUGGAAAGUUUUUUCGGUGUGGGAUGAGCUCGCGGCCUAUCAGCUUGUUGGUGGGGUAAUGGCCUACCAAGGCGUCGACGGGUAGCCGGCCUGAGAGGGUGUACGGCCACAUUGGGACUGAGAUGCGGCCCAGACUCCUAAGGGAGGCAGCAGUGGGGAAUAUUGCACAAUGGGCGCAAGCCUGAUGCAGCGACGCCGCGUGGGGGAUGACGGCCUUCGGGUUGUAAACUCCUUUCGCUAGGGACGAAGCGUUUUUGUGACGGUACCUGGAGAAGAAGCACCGGCUAACUACGUG